UUAGUUGGUGAAUCCAAAAGGUUUCUCUCUGGGAUAGAUUAAAUCUAUCUAAAUCUAAAUCUAUCCCAGAGAGAAACCUUUUGGAUUCACCAACUA